AUGGUGAUAAGCACCAAGACCGUUAGUACGAGUUUUAAUCCUGAUUUAAACAAAUCCGGAUUAAAUUUUAAUACCCCAUUCGAUAAGCAUCAAGAGAGGAUUAAACAACGGAAGCACGCAGCCAUUCUCUCUUGCUUGAACGGCUUGAACAUGUGUGAGUGCGCUCGCGGUAGUGCUGUCAAUCAGCUGAUGUUUAUUUUUGUUGACUUCUUCUCCUACUUCAAGAAAAACAAAAUUGAAAACAGAAAUCGGUAUGGAGUUCACUACGGUAAAUUAAAUAAAUUUAGUAACAAUAGUACGGAGUUUUUCAAUCGCGUUUUCGUAUUUGCAACCCAGCCAACGUAUUCGGACGCGGUGAAGCCAAACUUGUUUGGUCUACAACAACACGGAACACUGAGGUGCCGCUUUGCUUCCCAGAGCUAAUGGACCCACCUGUACCAUGUCGUCAAUCCGCCAAGACAUGCAAUGCACUAUUCCGGACAAGAUUCCGGACGUCUCAGUUCCGGACAACCAAGCCCCCAAGCAUGCUGCCCGCGUUUGAUAUGAAGCUUCGAACUGGCUGCCGAAUAUCCCAUGCAAACAGAUGGAUAAUUUUGCGUUUUCCCUGCCAGUUGGAGAGUGUUGAAAGUGCGGCAACUACCACCCUCGCCUACAAAGCGCUGUGUCCCUCAUAACUGGCCAACCUGCUGCCCGAUGUGCCGAUCAACAGGACCAAAUAUUCGUUUCCCAACCAAGUUAAUCAACAAAAUACAAACGGGUCACGAUGUUUAUUGUUGUGAAUGAUAAGGUAAUGAAUAAAAGUUAGAAAUACGUAAAACUUAAAAAUAAA